rnacentral:rRNA from 1 species
UACGUAGGGGGCAAGCGUUGUCCGGAAUUAUUGGGCGUAAAGAGCUUGUAGGCGGUUUGUCGCGUCUGCUGUGAAAUUUCGGGGCUCAACCCCGAACCUUGCAGUGGGUACGGGCAGACUAGAGUGUGGUAGGGGAGACUGGAAUUCCUGGUGUAGCGGUGAAAUGCGCAGAUAUCAGGAGGAACACCGAUGGCGAAGGCAGCUCACUGGGACGGUAUUGACGCUGAGACGCGAAAGCGUGGGGAGCAAACAGG